rnacentral:rRNA from 1 species
AUGAAUAUUAAAUGGCCGCAGUACCCUGACUGUGCUAAGGUAGCAUAAUCAAUUGGCCUUUAAUUGAGGUCUGGAAUGAAUGGAUAUACGGAAGCAAGCUGUCUCUCUUGGAGUUUAUGAAAUUAUUUUUAGGGGUGCAAAUUCCCUUAGUAAGAAAAUAGACGAGAAGACCCUAAGAGUUUUGAUUAUAGGUAAAGCUUUUACUUUUUUUUUGCUGGGGCGGCAAAGAAACAUUUAACUUUCUUGCUAUAAUUAAUAAUCGACGCGAUUUAUGAAGAACUAAAAAACUACCUUAGGGAUAACAGCAUAAUAUUUCAAUGUUUGUGACCUCGAUGUUGGACUAGGAAAGCUUUUGGCUAGCCGCCAAGAGUAUAUGUUCUGUUCGAACAAU